rnacentral:rRNA from 1 species
GAGUUUGAUCCUGGCUCAGAACGAACGCUGGCGGCGUGCCUAACACAUGCAAGUCGAACGUGAUCCAGAGCUUGCUCUGGUGAAAGUGGCGCACGGGUGAGUAACGCGUGGAUAACCUACCCUGGUAUCCGGGAUAACAUUCCGAAAGGGGUGCUAAUACCGGAUAAGCCCACGGGCUCUUUGGAGCUUGCGGGAAAAGGUGGCCUCUAUUUAUAAGCUACUGUAUCAGGAUGGGUCCGCGUACCAUUAGCUAGUUGGCGGUGUAACGAACCACCAAGGCGACGAUGGUUUGCUGGUCUGAGAGGAUGAUCAGCCACACUGGAACUGAGACACGGUCCAGACUCCUACGGGAGGCAGCAGUGGGGAAUUUUGCGCAAUGGGGGAAACCCUGACGCAGCAACGCCGCGUGAGUGAUGAAGGCCUUUGGGUCGUAAAGCUCUGUCAGAGGGGAAGAAAUGGUAUAGUGCUAAUACCACUUUAUCUUGACGGUACCCUCAAAGGAAGCACCGGCUAACUCCGUGCCAGCAGCCGCGGUAAUAC